AUUGAACGCUGGCGGCAGGCCUAACACAUGCAAGUCGAGCGGAUGAAGGGAGCUUGCUCCUGGAUUCAGCGGCGGACGGGUGAGUAAUGCCUAGGAAUCUGCCUGGUAGUGGGGGAUAACGUCCGGAAACGGGCGCUAAUACCGCAUACGUCCUGAGGGAGAAAGUGGGGGAUCUUCGGACCUCACGCUAUCAGAUGAGCCUAGGUCGGAUUAGCUAGUUGGUGGGGUAAAGGCCUACCAAGGCGACGAUCCGUAACUGGUCUGAGAGGAUGAUCAGUCACACUGGAGCUGAGACACGGUCCAGACUCCUACGGGAGGCAGCAGUGGGGAAUAUUGGACAAUGGGCGAAAGCCUGAUCCAGCCAUGCCGCGUGUGUGAAGAAGGUCUUCGGAUUGUAAAGCACUUUAAGUUGGGAGGAAGGGCAGUAAGUUAAUACCUUGCUGUUUGACGUUACCAACAGAAUAAGCACCGGCUAACUUCGUG
rnacentral:rRNA from 1 species